UCCGGCUUAUCACCGGCGGUUUCUUUAGAGUGCCCAACUAAAUGAUGGCAACUAAAGACGAGGGUUGCGCUCGUUGCGGGACUUAACCCAACAUCUCACGACACGAGCUGACGACAGCCGUGCAUCACCUCGCACCCUGCCCCGAAGGGAAACCGGCUUUCACCGGCUGUCAGGGCACGUUCAAGCCCAGGUAAGGUUCUUCGCGUCGCAUCGAAUUAAACCACACGCUCCGCUGCUUGUGCGGGCCCCCGUCAAUUCCUUUGAGUUUUAGCCUUGCGGCCGUACUCCCCAGGCGGGGCACUUAAUGCGUUAGCUACGGCGCGGAAAACGUGGAGUGUCCCCCACACCUAGUGCCCAACGUUUACGGCAUGGACUAC
rnacentral:misc_RNA from 1 species